UGGGAACGUGCCCUUCAGUUCGGAACAACCCAGGGAAACUUGGGCUAAUACCGGAUACGUCCGUAAGGGGAAAGAUUUAUCGCUGAAGGAUCGGCCCGCGUCUGAUUAGCUAGUUGGUGGGGUAAUGGCCCACCAAGGCUACGAUCAGUAGCUGGUCUGAGAGGACGAUCAGCCACACUGGGACUGAGACACGGCCCAGACUCCUACGGGAGCAG
rnacentral:rRNA from 1 species